rnacentral:rRNA from 1 species
CCUACGGGAGGCUGCAGUGGGGAAUCUUGCACAAUGGACGAAAGUCUGAUGCAGCGAUUCCGCGUGGAGGAUGACGCAUUACGGUGUGUAAACUCCUUUUUUGGUGGAAGACGAAUGACGGUACACCAAGAAUAAGGGACGGCUAACUACGUGCCAGCAGCCGCGGUAAUACGUAGGUCCCAAGCGUUAUCCGGAUUUACUGGGCGUAAAGUGUCCGUAGCCUGAUAUAUAAGUCUGUUUUCAAAUCCCACGACUCAAUCGUGGACAGGGAAUAGAUACUGUAUAUCUAGAGAAUAUUGGAGGUUAGUGGAAUUUCCGGUGGAGCGGUGAAAUGCGUUGAUAUCGGAAAGAACGCCGAAAGCGAAAGCAGCUAACUAUGAUAUUUCUGACGGUGAUGGACGAAAGCUUGAGUAGCAAACGGGCUUAGAUACCCCUGUAGUC